rnacentral:rRNA from 1 species
AUUGAACGCUGGCGGCAUGCUUUACACAUGCAAGUCGAACGGUAACAGGCCGCAAGGUGCUGACGAGUGGCGAACGGGUGAGUAAUGCAUCGGAACGUGCCCAGUCGUGGGGGAUAACGCAGCGAAAGCUGCGCUAAUACCGCAUACGAUCUAUGGAUGAAAGCGGGGGACCGUAAGGCCUCGCGCGAUUGGAGCGGCCGAUGUCAGAUUAGGUAGUUGGUGGGGUAAAGGCUCACCAAGCCAACGAUCUGUAGCUGGUCUGAGAGGACGACCAGCCACACUGGGACUGAGACACGGCCCAGACUCCUACGGGAGGCAGCAGUGGGGAAUUUUGGACAAUGGGCGCAAGCCUGAUCCAGCAAUGCCGCGUGCAGGAAGAAGGCCUUCGGGUUGUAAACUGCUUUUGUACGGAACGAAACGGUCUGGGUUAAUACCUCGGGCUAAUGACGGUACCGUAAGAAUAAGCACCGGCUAACUACGUGCCAGCAGCCGCGGUAAUAC